UACGUAGGGUGCGAGCGUUGUCCGGAAUUAUUGGGCGUAAAGAGCUCGUAGGCGGUGUGUCACGUCGAUCGUGAAAACUUGGGGCUUAACCCUGAGCUUGCGGUCGAUACGGGCAUCACUGGAGUUCGGCAGGGGAGACUGGAAUUCCUGGUGUAGCGGUGAAAAUGCGCCAGAUUAUCAGGAGGAACACCGGUGGCGAAGGCGGGUCUCUGGGCCGAUACUGACGC
rnacentral:rRNA from 1 species